rnacentral:rRNA from 1 species
GAUGAACGCUAGCGGCAGGCUUAACACAUGCAAGUCGAGGGGCAGCAUGAGACGGAGAUUCGUCGAAGUCUUGAUGGCGACCGGCGCAAGGGUGCGUAACGCGUGAGCAACUUGCCCGUUUCUGGGGAAUAACCGGUGGAAACGCCGACUAAUACCCCAUAGUAUCAGGUUUAGGCAUCUUUAUCUGAUUAAAGAAUUUCGGAAACGGAUAGGCUCGCGUGACAUUAGCUAGAUGGCGGGGUAACGGCCCACCAUGGCAACGAUGUCUAGGGGUUCUGAGAGGAAGGUCCCCCACACUGGAACUGAGACACGGUCCAGACUCCUACGGGAGGCAGCAGUGAGGAAUAUUGGGUCAAAUGGUCUAACGACUGAACCAGCCAUGCCGCGUGAAGGUCACGGCCCUAUGGGUCUUAAACUUCUUUUGUUAGGGAGCAAUAAGGUCUACGUGUAGAUUGAUGAGAGUACCUAACGAAUAAGCAUCGGCUAACUCCGUGCCAGCAGCCG